rnacentral:snRNA from 7 species
AGCUUUGCGUCGUGGCAGUAUUAUAGCCAGUGAGGUUUAUCCAAGGCAUGGUUAUUGCUAAUUGAAAAUAAGGUAUUGAUUAUGUGGUAGCUUUCCUAUUUAAGUAUACAGUUUAAUAAUAAUGUU